UCUACGGGAGGCAGCAGUGAGGAAUAUUGGUCAAUGGACGAGAGUCUGAACCAGCCAAGUAGCGUGAAGGAUGACUGCCCUAUGGGUUGUAAACUUCUUUUAUAUGGGAAUAAAACAGGGUAUGCAUACACUCUUGUAUGGAACAUAUGAAUAAGGAUCGGCUAACUCCGUGACAGCAGCCGCGGUAAUACGGGGGAUCCGAGCGUUAUCCGGAUUGAUUGGGUUUAAAGGGAGCGUAGGUGGAUUGUUAAGUCAGUUGUGAAAGUUUGCGGCUCAACCGUAAAAUUGCAGUUGAAACUGGCAGUCUUGAGUACAGUAGAGGUGGGCGGAAUUCGUGGUGUAGCGGUGAAAUGCUUAGAUAUCACGAAGAACUCCGAUUGCGAAGGCAGCUCACUGGACUGCAACUGACACUGAUGCUCGAAAGUGUGGGUAUCAAACAGGAUUAGAUACCCUAGUAGUC
rnacentral:rRNA from 1 species